AGGUGGUGCCCAGUGAGAACAUCACAGUCGCUAUCCGGAUCAGCCCUGCAAUGGGAGAGAGAGACAAGCGUGCCAGUUAUCCGGGAUCUCGAGCUCCAAGGGCCAAGACUUAACCUCAUGAAUAAUCCUGCCUUUCUCGGGGAGCUGCACUGAUUUCAAACGCACCCAGGAGCUGGCUGAGUCAAGCCCUUUGGGCGAAGCGUAAGGGACUUGCAAAUGGACAGCUCUAAGGAUAUCAAUGGCAACCACCGUAUGUGCGGGGGAGUUACCAGACCAGCCCCUCUCCAGAAUGGCUCUGUUCGUGGGAGUCCGCCUGCUCUGUCUGCCAGCGGCGAUAAACUUGCGCACAUGAGAAGAGAACCAGGCCCGCACUGCAGCCGCCAGCCACAGCCAGGCCAGGAAGAAGAAGAGGGGGUUAUGGGGCAGGAGCGUCAGCCCGAGCUGCCCAGCUCCUCUCCUGGCUUGGAGACUCCAUCCAUUGCUCUGGCACUGGGCCCAGCUUUCUGCAGGUCACUGGGCAGGUGGCCCUUUGCUGAGGGGCCAAUGGACACCGAGGACUCCCCUGCACUACAGCCUCAGGCCCAGCACGGCCGCGGCUACUUGUCAGCCAGCCGAACGAGGUCCCUGGCAAGCGCAUCCUCAGGCUGUAGAGGCUGUGACUCCCUCCUGCUGUGCCUGGGGCAAAGGCAUGAGAAAGGAGGAGACCUACAGCCUCCUCCUUCUUGUGGCACCACCAUGAUCCCCGGCACGCAGCAGAACGAGAGUGGCCGAGAGUCACAGGAAUAGCACCUAGGCCUGGCGACUGCUACGGGCACCAUGAACGGCCAGACCUGCUCUGCAGGGCCUCCGCCUCCUUCUGUCUCUGCUGCGGCACCUCGCUCUCCCCCGACUCCAAUUCAGACGAGUCUGGGAACACAGCGUGUGCUUCCUCCACCUUCUGCCUUUCCGAGCUCUGAGCUCCCACCCUGCCCAGCCCCGAGUGCAACACCCGGGACUGAGUCACCAGAUCUCCGUGCUCUGCCAGGAGGAGCAUGAAGCCAGGGAGUCAGAUGGGGGCAGGGAGUGGGGGCUCCACCCUCCCAGAGCACUGCCAGAUUUCGGGCCAUGCAGCCUUUUCUGCGAUGAUGUGAGGGAGGGGGUGUUAGGAUACAGAUAUUCAGGCCUGUCUGCAAAGGCCUGUACGCUAAGAAUUUAGGGGUAUUCUUAUCACUUGGCUAGUUAGAGGUAUAAAAGAAAGAAUCAAAAUCACUGUCUGCUGGUGUAAGGUCCUUCUCUUACUGUGACAGUCUGAGGCCCUGUUCUUAGGCUAAGGCCUUUGGCUAAGCAGCAGAGGCAGCCAUAAGCUGGGAAGCGACCGGUCACCUCCUCACAUCCCAAACUAGUCACAUUGAAAGAAGGUGCUAUGGGGCUGUUACGAAUACAAUCCUGUCCUGAUAACGCCUAUGGCCUCCAGAGAAAGGGAAGUGCCUAGAAGAUGUAAAAGGAAAUUGAGGUUGAUAGUUUUCUGUCUGAUAAGAACUCACUUAUCAAUAGACACAGCUGGGAAACUCUUAUGUCUUUAUAGAUGUAGUUGUGAAAUCCCCACUUCUGUAUUGUUUUGUCAUUAUAGUUCCCACUUUGCUAUUGUUUAUUGGCACGGUCUCUGUCUGGUUCUGUGAUUGUUUCUGUCUGCUGUAUAACUAAUUUUGCUGGGUGUAAACUAAUUAAGGUGAUGGGAUAUAAUUGGUUAGCUAAUCAUGUUACAAUAUGUUAGGAUUGGUUAGUUAAAUUUCAGUAGAAUGAUUGGUUAAGGUAUAGCUAAGAAUAUUACUAUAUAAAUUAGGGGAAAACAGGAAGUAAGUUGGGAUUCGAAAAUAAGGAAAAAGGAACUUGUAUUUAAGCUUGCUGGAAGUUCACCCCAAUAAACAUCGAAUUGUUUGCACCUUC